rnacentral:rRNA from 1 species
AUGGAACUAAACCUGCAAGUGCAAUGCUGGAACGUUUGUGGCUUGAACAAUCCAGCUAAAAGAAAGGCGGUGAGGGAGUUUGUGAACUCGGCAAGAGCAAACAUGGCGUAUUUGCAAGAGACCAAAUUAGAUGCAAUUGAUCGCUUUUGUGUUAUGUAAUGUCCGGGGCUGUCAUUUGACGGCUUUGCUUAUUUGCCGGCGUCUGACACUCGAGGUGGUGUUCUUCUUGCUUGGUAUAAUAUGGUCAUGGAUGUGGACAACAUCUCCCUUGAUACCAUUUUCCUUACAGGUCUGGUCCAUAACAAGGAUGGAGCACAUUGGUGGAUCUCGGUUGUGUAUGGUCCCCAAGGAUAUGAGCUCAAGACCACAUUUUUGGAGGGGUUGAAAUCUAGAAGGGAGGUAUGUCAGGGCCCAUGGAUGGUUCUUGGGGAUUUCAACAUGAUCCUUAGAGUUUCGGAGAAGAACAAUACCAACUUCGAACCGGGGUAUAAUGCGUAA